UACGGAGGAUGCGAGCGUUAUCCGGAUUUAUUGGGUUUAAAGGGUGCGUAGGCGGACGCUUAAGUCAGCGGUAAAAUUGCGGGGCUCAACCUCGUCGAGCCGUUGAAACUGGGUGCCUUGAGUGGGCGAGAAGUACGCGGAAUGCGUGGUGUAGCGGUGAAAUGCAUAGAUAUCACGCAGAACUCCGAUUGCGAAGGCAGCAUGCCGGCUUCCUACUGACGCUGAAGCACGAAAGCGUGGGGAUCGAACAGG
rnacentral:rRNA from 1 species